CAGGAGCGUCAGAAGUGGAAUGCUGCUAAAAGAAACUUUGUUCCAGGAGAUCUCAUCGUGUUAGUGGAUGAUAUGGCACCUCGCAAUACUUGGAUUACAGGAAGAAUUGUGGAUCCUGUUCCGGACAAAAAUGGACUGGUGCGAAGUGUACGGAUUAAAACUAAAACCAGUUAUCUGAACAGGCCAAUAACUAAAGUCUGCCUACUGCAGGAAGCAGAGGGGCAGUGAAGAUCUUUGGAUACAGCGGAUAUGAACUUUGUCUUUAAAGGACUAAAAGUUCACUUUGCAUUUUGAUUGAUGUCUGUCUCCCACAAGGUGGUUCUGGUGGUCAAUUAUUACUAUGAAAUAAUUUGGGGCCGGAAUGUAGGAGCCAUACAUUUGGGUUUGAUUAGUCUUUUAUGAUAUUUCCUCCUUUUUUUUCUAUACUGUUGUGUAUGUGCAUGCGCAUAGUGACGUCAUUGGUUACUGUGGGUGUCACCGGGGGUGUGGUGUCUGUAUUAAUGCGUGUGUGCUCACCUGUGUGGGGGCGGGUGUUUGGAUUAUGGCUGCAGGGUGAGUGUGUGGAGAAACUUUCUGUUGACUGUCGCCAUCAUCAUCUUCUGUUACUGCACUGUCUGAGGUAUCUUUGCACGGCUUAUGAAAUGCAUCAAUGCAAGAGCUACUGGCUGAACUGCAUCUAGAAGUAAUGGUUGAAUAUGUGAGGCAAAUGAUGAAGAGAAAAUGGAAACUAAAAAAGACAAAGAGCAGCAAGAAGCAGCUGCUGAGUUCAUCUGCUCUGUGUUUGCCAAAGUGGUGAGAUCACAUCCAGACCCACACUUAUAUGCAUAUGAACACACUGUAUACUCACAUGUGACCAAAACAUAUAAAAUACUCUGGCUUUCUUCCUGGAACAUUCAAGUAAACAUCAUGAAUUCCCGACUCGUGUAUUAGUAACACAUGGUUGUCAUUAUGUUUUAAAACCUUC
ensembl:lncRNA